UACACUCCUACGGGAGGCAGCAGUGGGGAAUUUUGGACAAUGGGCGAAAGCCUGAUCCAGCAAUGCCGCGUGAGUGAAGAAGGCCUUCGGGUUGUAAAGCUCUUUUGUCAGGGAAGAAACGGUGAAAGCUAAUAUCUUUUGCUAAUGACGGUACCUGAAGAAUAAGCACCGGCUAACUACGUGCCAGCAGCCGCGGUAAUACGUAGGGUGCAAGCGUUAAUCGGAAUUACUGGGCGUAAAGCGUGCGCAGGCGGUUUUGUAAGUCUGAUGUGAAAUCCCCGGGCUCAACCUGGGAAUUGCAUUGGAGACUGCAAGGCUAGAAUCUGGCAGAGGGGGGUAGAAUUCCACGUGUAGCAGUGAAAUGCGUAGAUAUGUGGAGGAACACCGAUGGCGAAGGCAGCCCCCUGGGUCAAGAUUGACGCUCAUGCACGAAAGCGUGGGGAGCAAACAGGAUUAGAAACCCGAGUAGUCCCA
rnacentral:rRNA from 1 species